AGUGAACGCUGGCGGUAGGCCUAACACAUGCAAGUCGAACGCCCCGCAAGGGGAGUGGCAGACGGGUGAGUAACGCGUGGGAAUCUACCCAUCCCUACGGAACAACUCCGGGAAACUGGGGCUAAUACCGUAUACGCCCUUAGGGGGAAAGAUUUAUCGGGGAUGGAUGAGCCCGCGUUGGAUUAGCUAGUUGGUGGGGUAAAGGCCUACCAAGGCGACGAUCCAUAGCUGGUCUGAGAGGAUGAUCAGCCACAUUGGGACGGAGACACGGCCCAAACUCCUACGGGAGGCAGCAGUGGGGAAUAUUGGACAAUGGGCGCAAGCCUGAUCCAGCCAUGCCGCGUGAGUGAUGAAGGCCUUAGGGUUGUAAAGCUCUUUCACCGAUGAAGAUAAUGACGGUAGUCGGAGAAGAAGCCCCGGCUAACUUCGUGCCAGCAGCCGCAGUAAUAC
rnacentral:rRNA from 1 species